rnacentral:rRNA from 1 species
AGUCGAACGGCAGCAUGAUCUAGCUUGCUAGAUUGAUGGCGAGUGGCGAACGGGUGAGUAAUACAUCGGAACGUGCCCUGUAGUGGGGGAUAACUAGUCGAAAGAUUAGCUAAUACCGCAUACGACCUGAGGGUGAAAGUGGGGGACCGCAAGGCCUCAUGCUAUAGGAGCGGCCGAUGUCUGAUUAGCUAGUUGGUGGGGUAAAGGCCCACCAAGGCGACGAUCAGUAGCUGGUCUGAGAGGACGAUCAGCCACACUGGGACUGAGACACGGCCCAGACUCCUACGGGAGGCAGCAGUGGGGAAUUUUGGACAAUGGGCGAAAGCCUGAUCCAGCAAUGCCGCGUGUGUGAAGAAGGCCUUCGGGUUGUAAAGCACUUUUGUCCGGAAAGAAAUGGCUCUGGUUAAUACCUGGGGUCGAUGACGGUACCGGAAGAAUAAGGACCGGCUAACUACGUGCCAGCAGCCGCGGUAAUACGUAGGGUCCAAGCGUUAAUCGGAAUUACUGGGCGUAAAGCGUGCGCAGGCGGUUGUGCAAGACCGAUGUGAAAUCCCCGAGCUUAACUUGGGAAUUGCAUUGGUGACCGCACGGCUAGAGUGUGUCAGAGGGGGGUAGAAUUCCACGUGUAGCAGUGAAAUGCGUAGAGAUGUGGAGGAAUACCGAUGGCGAAGGCAGCCCCCUGGGAUAACACUGACGCUCAUGCACGAAAGCGUGGGGAGCAAACAGGAUUAGAUACCCUGGUAGUCCACGCCCUAAACGAUGUCAACUAGUUGUUGGGGAUUCAUUUCCUUAGUAACGUAGCUAACGCGUGAAGUUGACCGCCUGGGGAGUACGGUCGCAAGAUUAAAACUCAAAGGAAUUGACGG